UGAGCCCUUCUCUGCCCAGACCCAGGGCUUCGAGAGCAUGCACACCCAGUGACAGGUGAAGGAGAGCCUCUACAGCAAGAUCAUUGACACUUUGACAAGGGCAAGAUGUGGGAGGAGGUGAUCAUGCUGUGUAAGGAGCUGGCUCAACAGUACGAGAGAGAGCUGUUUGACUACGAGAUGCUGAGCGCCAACCUGCAAACACAGGCCAAGUUCUUCCAGAACAUCAUGACGGUGCUCCGGCCCAAGCCAGACUACUUCGCAGUGGGGUACUAUGGCCAGGGGUUCCCCACCUUC